rnacentral:rRNA from 1 species
AUUGAACGCUGGCGGCAGGCCUAACACAUGCAAGUCGAGCGGCAGCGGGAGGAAGCUUGCUUCCUCGCCGGCGAGCGGCGGACGGGUGAGUAAUGUCUGGGAAACUGCCCGAUGGAGGGGGAUAACUACUGGAAACGGUAGCUAAUACCGCAUAACGUCUACGGACCAAAGUGGGGGACCUUCGGGCCUCACACCAUCGGAUGUGCCCAGAUGGGAUUAGCUGGUAGGUGGGGUAAUGGCUCACCUAGGCGACGAUCCCUAGCUGGUCUGAGAGGAUGACCAGCCACACUGGAACUGAGACACGGUCCAGACUCCUACGGGAGGCAGCAGUGGGGAAUAUUGCACAAUGGGCGCAAGCCUGAUGCAGCCAUGCCGCGUGUGUGAAGAAGGCCUUCGGGUUGUAAAGCACUUUCAGCGAGGAGGAAGGCGUUGUAGUUAAUAGCUGCAACGAUUGACGUUACUCGCAGAAGAAGCACCGGCUAACUCCGUGCCAGCAGCCGCGGUAAUACGGAGGGUGCAAGCGUUAAUCGGAAUUACUGGGCGUAAAGCGCACGCAGGCGGUCUGUUAAGUCAGAUGUGAAAUCCCCGGGCUUAACCUGGGAACUGCAUUUGAAACUGGCAGGCUAGAGUCUCGUAGAGGGGGGUAGAAUUCCAGGUGUAGCGGUGAAAUGCGUAGAGAUCUGGAGGAAUACCGGUGGCGAAGGCGGCCCCCUGG